ACAACAACAUUCGGACCGUCGGUCUACCGAGCAAUAUCACCCGCUCGAUGGAAGAUCUUCCCUUUGUCGUAUUCC
rnacentral:pre_miRNA from 1 species